CACCAUCACUACCUCGUAAAAAAAAAAAAAGAGUGAUUGUUUAUAGUAACUUAUUCCACGAAAUGGCUUGUUAAUCAUUAGCACCCACUACACUCUGAGAGUGGUUGGCGUUAGGAAGCUGUAGAAACACUGCCAAAUCAGAUUGGAGCCUGGUGCUGCCUCCUGGCUUCCUAAACCCCCAUUCAAACCGUCCAACCCCUGCCAGCAUAGAAAACGGACGUUAAACAAUAAUGAUGGUGAUGAGGAUGAUGUGGGGUAUUUGUGUGUGUGCGUGCAUAUGUUUGUGGGCACACGUGUAAUAUAUCAAAUACCAAACAACAUAAAUACCUCAUUUAUCAAAAUUAUCACCAUUUCAAUAGAAUGUGUCAAAUGAGAAGAGGAAAUAGACUUAGUGGAACACAAAGGAAAUAGAGCAUACUAGCAGUAUCUAGCAUACUAGAUUAUGUUAGGAUUAUUAAGCUAAUCAAGUGCUUUGUUUCAAACCAA